rnacentral:rRNA from 1 species
UACGAAGGGGGCUAGCGUUGCUCGGAAUCACUGGGCGUAAAGGGUGCGUAGGCGGGUCUUUAAGUCAGGGGUGAAAUCCUGGAGCUCAACUCCAGAACUGCCUUUGAUACUGAGAGCUUGAGUCCGGGAGAGGUGAGUGGAACUGCGAGUGUAGAGGUGAAAUUCGUAGAUAUUCGCAAGAACACCAGUGGCGAAGGCGGCUCACUGGCCCGGUACUGACGCUGAGGUGACGAAGCGGUGGGAGCAAACAGG